rnacentral:rRNA from 1 species
AUUGAACGCUGGCGGAAUGCUUUACACAUGCAAGUCGAACGGCAGCACGGGAGCUUGCUCCUGGUGGCGAGUGGCGAACGGGUGAGUAAUAUAUCGGAACGUAUCCAAUAAUGGGGGAGUAACUAGUCGAAAGAUUAGCUAAUACCGCAUACGCCCUGAGGGGGAAAGCUGGGGAUCUUCGGACCUAGCGUUAAUGGAGCGGCCGAUAUCUGAUUAGCUAGUAGGUGAGGUAAAAGCUUACCUAGGCGACGAUCAGUAGCUGGUCUGAGAGGACGACCAGCCACACUGGAACUGAGACACGGUCCAGACUCCUACGGGAGGCAGCAGUGGGGAAUUUUGGACAAUGGGCGCAAGCCUGAUCCAGCCAUUCCGCGUGAGUGAAGAAGGCCUCGGGUUGUAAAGCUCUUUCGCAAGGGAAGAAAACUUAACCUCUAACAUAGGUUGAGGCUGACGGUACCUUGAUAAGAAGCACCGGCUAACUACGUGCCAGCAGCCGCGGUAAUACGUAGGGUGCGAGCGUUAAUCGGAAUUACUGGGCGUAAAGCGUGCGCAGGCGGCCUGAUAAGUCAGAUGUGAAAGUCCCCGAGCUCAACUUGGGGAACUGCGUUUGAAACUAUCAAGCUAGAAUAUGUCAGAGGGGGCUAGAAUUCCACGUGUAGCAGUGAAAUGCGUAGAGAUGUGGAGGAAUACCAAUGGC